UCUAUCCUACGGGGGGCAGCAGUGGGGAAUAUUGCGCAAUGGGCGAAAGCCUGACACAGCGACGCCGCGUGAGGGAUGAAGGUCUUCUGAUCGUAAACCUCUGUCAGCAGGGAAGAACGGUCACUGUGCUAAUCAGCAGUGAAUUGACGGUACCUGCAAAGGAAGCACCGGCUCACUCCGUGCCAGCAGCCGCGGUAAUACGGCGUGUGCGAGCGUUAAUCGGAAUUACUGGGCGUAAAGCGCUCGUAGGCGGUAUGUCAAGUCAAGGGUGAAAUCCCCGCGCUCAAGGUGUGAACUGCCUUUGA
rnacentral:rRNA from 1 species